UGCAGACAGGAUUCCUUCUAAGACCAAGCCUUUUUUUUUUUUUUUUAAAUUCUCACUUGUGAACACUAAAAGUCUAUUUUUUAAAACAAAACAAAAAAAAAUGCUCUUUUAGCUUUCUCUUUCUUUCUUUCUUUCUUUCUUUCUUUCUUUCUUUCUUUCUUUCUUUCUUUCUGUCUUUCUUUCUAAGACGGAGUCUCUCGUGAUGCAGGCAUGAGUGUAGUGGCGUGAUCUCGGCUCACUGCAACCUCCACCUCUCAGGUUCAAGCGAUUCUCCUGCCUCAGCCUCCUGGGUAGCUGGGACUACAGACAAGGGUUCACUCCUGUCGCCCAGAUGGGAGUACAGUGGUGUGAUCUCAACUCACCGCAGCCACCAGGUGAUCCUCCCACCUCAGCCUCCUGAGCAGCUAGGACU
rnacentral:lncRNA from 1 species